rnacentral:rRNA from 1 species
UACGGAGGGGACUAGCGUUGUUCGGAAUUACUGGGCGUAAAGCGCACGUAGGCGGAUUUGUAAGUCAGGGGUGAAAUCCCGGGGCUCAACCUCGGAACUGCCUUUGAUACUGCAAAUCUCGAGUCCGGAAGAGGUGAGUGGAAUUCCUAGUGUAGAGGUGAAAUUCGUAGAUAUUCGCAAGAACACCAGUGGCGAAGGCGGCUCACUGGUCCGGUUCUGACGCUGAGGCGCGAAAGCGUGGGGAGCAAACAGG